CGUAGGUGGCAAGCGUUGUCCGGAAUUAUUGGGCGUAAAGCGCGCGCAGGCGGAAUAAUAAGUCUGUCGUGAAAGUGCGGGGCUCAACCCCGUGAUUGCAAUGGAAACUGUUAUUCUUGAGUGCAGGAGAGGAAAGUGGAAUUCCCAGUGUAGCGGUGAAAUGCGUAGAUAUUGGGAGGAACACCAGUGGCGAAGGCGACUUUCUGGACUGUGUCUGACGCUGAGGCGCGAAAGCCAGGGUAGUGAACGGGAUUAGAUACCCCGGUAAUCCUGGCCGUAAACGAUGGGUACUAGGUGUAGGGGGUAUCGACCCCUCCUGUGCCGGAGUUAACGCAAUAAGUACCCGCCUGGGGAGUACGGCCGCAAGGUUG
rnacentral:rRNA from 1 species